rnacentral:rRNA from 1 species
AUUGAACGCUGGCGGCAGGCCUAACACAUGCAAGUCGAGCGAGCGGCGGACGGGUGAGUAAUGUAUGGGGACUGCCCGAUCGAGGGGGAUAACUACUGGAAACGGUGGCUAAUACCGCAUACUAUCGGAUAACCCAUAUGGGAUUAGCUAGGAGGUGGGGUAAAGGCUCACCUAGGCGACGAUCUCUAGCUGGGCUGAGAGGAUGCUCAGCCAAGCUGGGACUGAGACACAGCCCAUGCUCCUACGGAGGCAGCAGUGGGGAAUAUGGCACAAGGGGCGCAAGCCGGAUGCAGCCAUGCCGCGUGUAUAAAGAAGGCGUUAGGGUUUUAAAGUACUUUCAGCGGGAAGGCGUUACCCGAAGAAGAAGCACCGGCUAACUCCGUGCCAGCCGCCGCGGUAAUUC